UAAAUUAGAAAGAAAUAAUAUGCGGUACCAAAUAUGUAAUAAACUUUUCCAAGAAUGGCAUGCGACCAGCAUGCGAAGUUAAAACACUUAUUCACAGAACACACAUUUCAUCCCACAUUGGUAUUUGCAUGAUCUCUCGUUUAAUUUUUCAUCCUAUAUUAAUUCUAAUACUGUAGAUUUGAUUGAAACCAUCUACCAGCAACGUGUGAGGCAAAAAUCGUAAACUUAUUAUCUCGAGCUACCUCC
rnacentral:sRNA from 1 species